GACGAACGCUGGCGGCGUGGAUUAGGCAUGCAAGUCGGACGGUAGGGCUUUAUCGUAAGAUAGAGUUUGAGAGUGGCGAACGGGUGAGUAACACGUAGGAAUCUACCCUUAAGACGGGGACAACCCAGGGAAACUUGGGCUAAUACCGGAUGAGAGUGCGAGAGAUUGCAUUUAAAAGGAUGGCGAAAGUUGUCGCUUAGGGAUGAGCCUGCGGUCUAUUAGUUAGUUGGUGAGGUAAGAGCUCACCAAGGCGAUGAUAGAUAGGCGGCCUUAACGGGUGGUCGCCCACACUGGGAUUGAGAUACGGCCCAGACUCCUACGGGAGGCAGCAGUGGGGGAUCUUGCACAAUGGGCGAAAGCCUGAUGCAGCGACGCCGCGUGAGCGAAGAAGGCCUUCGGGUUGUAAAGCUCUGUCUGGAGGGACGAACAAAAUGACGGUACCUCCGGAGGAAGCCACGGCUAACUACGUG
rnacentral:rRNA from 1 species